GAGAGGUAACGGCUCACCAAGGCAUCGACGGGUAGCUGGUCUGAGAGGAUGAUCAGCCACACUGGAACUGAGACACGGUCCAGACUCCUACGGGAGGCAGCAGUGGGGAAUCUUGCACAAUGGGCGAAAGCCUGAUGCAGCGAUGCCGCGUGCGGGAAGAAGGCCCUAGGGUUGUAAACCGCUUUCAGGAGGGAAGAAAAUGACGGUACCUCCAGAAGAAGGUGCGGCCAACUACGUGCCAGCAGCCGCGGUAACACGUAGGCACCAAGCGUUAUCCGGAUUUAUUGGGCGUAAAGAGCUCGUAGGCGGUUCAGUCAGUCGGGUGUGAAAACUUGAGGCUUAACCUCAAGAGGUCACUCGAUACUACUGUGACUAGAGUGCGGUAGGGGAGCGGGGAAUUCCUGGUGUAGCGGUGAAAUGCGCAGAUAUCAGGAGGAACACCAGCGGCGAAGGCGCCGCUCUGGGCCGUAACUGACGCUGAGGAGCGAAAGCAUGGGUAGCAAACAGGAUUAGAUACCCUGGUAGUCCAUGCCGUAAACGUUGGGCACUAGGUGUGGGUCUCAACCAACGAGAUCCGCGCCGUCGCUAACGCAUUAAGUG
rnacentral:rRNA from 1 species